rnacentral:tRNA from 1 species
GCACCCGUAGCUCAGCUGGAUAGAGCGGCAGCCUCCGAAGCUGUAGGUCAGAGGUUCGAAUCCUCUCGGGUGCACCA